rnacentral:rRNA from 1 species
CAGCCGCCGCGGUAAAACAGAGGGUGCGAGCGUUAAUCGGAUUUACUGGGCGUAAAGCGUGCGUAGGCGGCUUUUUAAGUCGGAUGUGAAAUCCCUGAGCUUAACUUAGGAAUUGCAUUCGAUACUGGGAAGCUAGAGUAUGGGAGAGGAUGGUAGAAUUCCAGGUGUAGCGGUGAAAUGCGUAGAGAUCUGGAGGAAUACCGAUGGCGAAGGCAGCCAUCUGGCCUAAUACUGACGCUGAGGUACGAAAGCAUGGGGAGCAAACAGGAUUAGAUACCCGAGUAGUCCCUGUCUCUUAUAU